UCAGGUACCUGAAGUAGUGCGCGG
rnacentral:miRNA from 1 species